AUGAACUCCUGGUGUUUUUGUUGGUUGCUUUCCCGAGUUCAUCGCAGGGGGUUGCUCCCAUCUGAUGCAUCUCCUGCGGGAGAAUCUCAGGAAUGUGCUGCAGUAUUGAAAAGUAGUACCGCACCGACUGGUGAAAGUGCUGAGGAAGUCCUUCAGCCAGGUAAGGCAAGUCUGCAUGCUUACUCAUUCCAUUGCUUAAUGACAGGCCUGUUAAUACACUCUCAAUUUGCACAAAGGGCUAAUGAAGGGGAGAAGACACAUAUUUCAUCUGCGUCUAAUGUGUUUACAUUCUCUCCUUCCACUUCUCUCCAUGUGAUCCAUGUGGCCCUGCACAGAUACUGUACCGUUCACCCUCAGGUAUUUUCACAGGUACAAAUGAUCGCAAGUCCAGAAAUGAUCCUGUUGGCAAGGGGUCCUCUGAGAAAAUGCUGCCCGCAGCUACCAAAAAGGUCACAAGACGGGUGCUCUGUCUACAAGCUCAUGUGCUGGAUCGUGCCGGGCACGAUCAACAGGGAUCGCCUGGCAACCGUGACAGCCCCGCGGGAUUCAGGAAGAGCGAUAAACCAGCCCCGCUUCAAUCAUCAUUCAUCUCUUCUUGCAUCAGGAUUAAAAAUGAGCCUGCUGUCCCAAUCUUUCUGGGCGAUCAUUGUCCUCUUCGCUGGUGACUGCAGCUGUUUCCAGGGGACAGGAGUUCCUACAACCCUGACAGAAGACUGACCAAGACCAGGAGGGGCAUGAAAACAGCACCAGAUCUCAACCGUUUAAGACAGCGCCAAUACACCAGGGCUCACAGGGCCGAUGCCCAGGACAGGGAUUCCCAAUCCUGAUCCUGGAGACUUGCACACUCCUGGUUUUCACUCCAGCCAAGCUUAAUUGCUUAAUAGAACCCAUAAUUGAACUACUAAGUUGCUUGAUUAGAACAUGUGCCCGUUUUUAUUUCUGCUCAGACGUUUGGGAAUUAAUUUCAAUUAGGAAAUGCAGCAGUUAAAAGGCAAACCCCAACAUGUUUGAGAGCUGUAAAGAAUCAAACAAUUCAGAUUAAUCCUAUUAUUAAGUCAAUUAAGGGAUCUAUUGUGAGCACUUGACUAGAACAUAAACCAGCUGGUGUGUUUGCCUCCAACAUGGAGUGUCUGGAAUGUGUUUAUACCCCUGUCCUGAUCUGAACAAUUCUACAACUUUAUCCCUGAGUUGUUUUCAAAACCAUACUACCUGACUGAGGGACCUUACAGAGACAGGUGUAUUUAUCCUAAAGUCAUGUGAAGGACUGUUACCAUAUUCGCCUAUUUGCCAUAGUGUAGGGAGGGAGUGCUCGUUCAAUCAAUAUUUUAAUUUUAUUUUUCUUUGUUGUCUACUGACGUUUAACAUCUUUUAUCAAUAAAAAUAACAAAAUACACCCUUAACAUAAAACAUACAUGAAAUAAUUCAAUUUGUUAUAUGUCAAGAUUCCUUCCAAUGGAAUAAAGCAUAGGGCCACUAAUCAAGGAAUCAGAGCUCACCAACUCCUUAUUUUUUUAAUUCACUACAUAGUACUGUUUUUUUAGCACACUCACUCUGUAAUCAGUGACUGAGCUGGUCAGCCCCUGUCUUCUGAAGGCAGCAGUGUGCGUGGUGUCUAGUCACUCCAGACAGCAGACACUGCUGGCAUGCAGGGAGAAAGGUAAUGUUUACCCUCGUGGCCCUCACAUGAAUCAUAGGACAGACUCCUGCUCUGCUCUUUCUUGAGUUUAUCAGCUUAUCACAAGCCAGUCUGACCCUUGCCCUCAGAGAACUGGUGCCAUGGUCAAGUAGCAAAUAACCAUAUUAGUAACUUUCCAGACAUAAAACAAUAAAUAUGAUUAUAGAUGUUUUAAAGCCGAUAAGAGAAAGAGAUGUCUAGCAUCAGGAUAUCUUCGAAUGAUAGCGAAUAACAGACCUGUUCCUGUACUAUCCUGACCCAGUUUCACUUUUUAACUUUUUUUUAUGACAGAACAUUACUGCCACUGGUGGCUGUAAAAUGGUUUAUUCUUUGUUGGAAACUCUUUGCGGUCAGCACACUGGUGCAGUUCUUAGGGCAGUGGUCAGUCCCUUGCUCCCAUUGCUUGCUGGGACAGACUCCAGCUCGCCCGCAACCCUGGAGUGGACGAAGUGGUCAGAAAAGAGAUGGAUGGAAACCCUUCACCAGACAGCAUUUCACCCCGGACCUGGGGGAAAUACAGCCCAGGUUUAGAAUUCCUCGAAACACACAUACGGCCUUGGUUUGAGUAACUAUAAUAGAACAAGUGUGUGUGAUGCAGAUUUGAGGAUCUGGUGAUUAUUUGUUGGGGGGGGGAGUGGUAUUUUUGGCAAUCGAUGCGUCCAGCAAAUCCCCUAAUGCACAUAGCUGCUGCUGUCCAAAAAUGCGGUGUAACAAUGAAUGAAAGAUUAAGUUUCAUAACCUCAGAUCUAAUCUCCGAAAUUCCCUGUGUCUAAAUGAUGAAAAUAAGCCUCUUGUCCGCUUCCUUUAACUUCUCCUUUGGCUCACUGUUAGAACAUUGCCUCUCUUGGAACAUUCCUGAAUUCCACUUAGGCAAACAAAAUCCUUUUCAUAAAAUGUGCUUAAUUUCUAGAAUAAUUACUGUAGGAUUGCUUUUUCUGUACUACGGCUCUGAACACAACUUAAGCACCAACACUCUACACUUGUGUUUUGAUGACAGCUUGAUUGAAAACUAGAAUUAAUAAUACAAAGAUUCCUAUUAGUUCAGGUGGGGAGCUGCGUCAGCAUGUGUAGGCUGCAAAGGAACAAGUAACAGGUUUAUUCCGUGCUGAAAAGAGAAGAAAGAAGACACAACGUUUCGGCUGUGGAGCCUUCUUCGGGUGUAAGAAAGAUGUUCUUUCUUAUGUAAUAGUUUUUUUUAUAUUUUUGGAGAACAGGUGCGGCGUGGUUUAAGCGUACUGUUAGUCACUGUGCUAGGUUUCAGAGCAAAUGUCUUACCUGUCUGUAGCAGAGCAGCUGGAUCUGGGGGGGUGUAAUACUAGUUUCGGCCACUAGAGGGCGGCAUACGAGUCAGCCGCUAGAGUGGACCUGAAUUCCUCACGAAGUCGGAAAGAGGAAUCGGCUUCAGCUGUCUGCAGGCUGAUUUCUGCAUAUAUGCGCUCAACACCACCAGAGGGGGUCUGUCUUGGUUCUGGGAGGAGUGGUAUUCUGGUAAGUUUUGAGGAGAGGUGGUGCGAGUAAUAAAAACAAUUUAAAAAAAAGAUUCUUUAGACUGUAGAAAUAGGCGACAGAUUAAAGAGAACUAUCGAUAAACACCGGCUUGCUGCCGCAUGUAGAAACGGGGUCGGAGGAAAUAGAACCGGUUAGAGACGAGCUGGGAAAGUCGGGAGUAGGUGGUUACGGUUCAUACUGGGGUGCAGUAAGUGUCCGCCCUCAGCCCGGUUCCCCCACUUCCCCGUAGAAAACGGGGUGCAUGUGCGUGUUUCCGCCCCGAUCUCGCCACCAGGCGGGGGGACCCGCUGCCCUCCCCCACCAGAGGCCUCUAGGUGACGGCGUCCGGGCCGGCGGACAGGGCUUCGAGAGAGGUCAUGCAGUAAUAUCCGAGACACAGGCUGGUCUGUGUGCUGCUGUUCCCCACCCCAGCCUCCCAGAGUCCACCUCUUCACGCCUCAUGAAACGGGAGUGUUUUUUUUUUGUGUGCCUUUUGUAAGCCCUAUUAAGCUGAAGGCACAGUGGAUUGUGCCAGACUAUGUGGGUUAUAUUAGAUUGAGUACAUUGGCAGCCAGAGCGCGGCUGGGGCCUUAACUUCUGUUUUUGCAGUGAUGGGCGGACGAUGGCCGGAGACGGAGACGCGCUGUGUGGCAGUGAGACUGGAGAAGGAUGUCCUUUUCGAGCAGGAAACCGGAUCGCGCGCAAAGAGACUUGUAGGUGAUGUCGACGAGUGUUGCAAUUCUGUGAUUUUUGGAGUGUGGUAUUGAUCCUCAGAUC
rnacentral:lncRNA from 1 species